GGACUACAGGGGUAUCUAAUCCUGUUUGCUACCCACGCUUUCGUGCCUCAGCGUCAGUUACCGUCCAGUAAGCCGUCUACACCGCAGGUGUUCCUCCUGAUAUCUACGCAUUUCACCGCUACACCAGGAAUUCCGCUUACCUCUCCGGCACUCCAGCAUCUCAGUAUUCGCCGCACCCUCCCGGUUAAGCCGGGAGAUUUCACAACAAACUUAAGACACCGCCUACGCACGCUUUACGCCCAGUAACUCCGAACAACGCUCGCUGCCUACGUAUUACCGCGGCGGCUGGCAC
rnacentral:rRNA from 1 species